UUUGUGCCCCUCAGUGUGUUCUGGAACCAAGUCUUUUCAGCCUCCCAUACGGAGGCAGGCUCAAUGUCUCUGAUUUGAUUCUUUCAGCUACUCAAAACUACUUCAAAACUUGCAUUAAUCAGCACAUCUGUGGUAGCUUUUUUCUUUCUGUAGUUAGUGUGAAUUGCCCUACCUUGCCACACUUUCUGGCUCCCAGGCCAGCCAGGCUUAGAGCUAAUCAGUCUGCUGGAACCAGUACAGGCAACCAGUGUGCUUGUCCCUGACAUAUCUGAAAUUAUGCCUCUGACUGGCAUAGCUGUAAUUGUCUGUAAUUGAUCUUUCACUUUUACCCUGCAGAGGAGGCUCUUUGGCAGGGCAGAGCUCAGGGUAAGUCUGUGGGGAUGUUUUGAAGUUCAUGCUGCUUUACAGCCCCUUCUGCUAGAGAGGUUUUGUUGAGCUUGCCACGGUCAAAAAGGUUGUGUGUAAAAUGAAGGUGUUUUUAAAAUGCUAAUUGGCUAUGACUUGGCAUUAAUGCAGCAGUACAGUCUGACAGAGAUGCAGCCCAAAAGCACGUGAGACUUGACAAUGAUGUCUUUCACAAAGGAAAGCCUUAAAUUUGAUAAUGAAUGCACUUACACUACAGUAUAAUGUAUUCCCAAAGACAAACACUCCCCUCAUCUUGUAUGUGCUGCUGCCAGCCACUGUGCUGUGUGCUGACUCAGAACAUCCUUAUCUUCUUGCACAGCUUCUGUAAAAGGCAGGAAAUGCCAGGACUGGAAUCCAGUUUUCAUGAGCAAAUUGAUGCAAACAGAAUGGUGUCUUGACCUGUGAAAGGUGGAUUGGAGCACAGAAUCUUCUGUUUGUGUAGGUGGAAUAUUUCAGGGGGUGCUCCUAAGACUCACUGCUGCAGACACCUCAGUUUUGAGGUUGUGUGGAGUUGACUAGAAGCUUUCCAAGACAAGCUCAAGAUGGUGAAAUGCUGGUAAUUCCAGGUAAACCUCUACAAAGGCGACGUUUCCUCCAUUGUCUGAAGUGGUAGAUUUGAUGACAAAAGCAGUAAUGGAGAAAACAUUAUUGUCUCACUAAAUCCAGCAAAUUUUCUACAAGAGAACUGAAGUGGCAUUGCAAAAAAAAGCUUAUAACAGAAACAUGCACAAGCAUCCUGAGCUGACAGACUAAACAGCAUUCUUGGGACUGAGCAAGAAGCCUGGCAGUCUCUGCUAAAGGCAGGGUAAGAGUGGAAUAUCAGCAAAAUCACCCUGAAAAAUAAUAGGUGGACUAUAUAUAAGAGAAGGAUGAAGUGGGUUAGGUUGGAAGGGGCCUUAAAUUCAUCUUGUUCCAACCCCCCUGCCAUGGACAUGACACAUCCUACUGACCCUGGCUAAUUCACUCUUUUACAUGAAAUAAAGGAAAAGGAAAAUAAUUGAGGUAUUAGUGAGCUGAGCUUUGGAUAAGGAAAAAUGAAUUACUAGCUCAUUCCACUGCAGGGAACAAACAAUUUAGCAGUAGUGUUCUCAAAAUAGUUUAUUAUGCUCAAGUAGGUGUACAGGUGUUUCCUACAGGAAGGACUGAUGAGGAGACCUAAUCUGAGAUGAUUUAAAAUCUCACCCAUAGUCUUCUAUGGAGUUAUGUUGAGGGAAUUUGGAUUAUGAUGAAUAUUACUACUGUAACAUAGAGUGUUAAUCAUGAACAAGCUGGUCUAGUGGGAGAUGUCCCUGCCCAUGGCAGAGGGUUGUUUGGAACGAGAUGAUCCUUCAGGUAUCUUCCAACCCAAACCUUUCUGUGAUUCUUUGAGCAGGACCUCUUUGUGCAAGUGACAGAUGUGCACCUUUGGAAUGUCAGCUGCCUUCUAAGCAGGUCCCAAUUAAUGCAGAAUGUUUUAGGUUACUAUUAAUGCAUGCAAAUUAAUUUUCUGCAAACUAAAUUUAAAAAAUUAUGUAGUCAAACAUUCUUGAUUUAGCUGUCUCCUGGUUUAAUUUUUGAAGAUUUAGGAGUGUUAGUGGAAAGAAAAGCAUUUCUACCUGUAAUAUUUGAUUUAACAGAGCUGUAACUUAGCCUGUUAAGUUGAAGUGUUACCAAGUGGUUCCUUGUGAAAAAGCAGUGUAAGUCCAGGAGGCCCAGAGGGACUAGUGAAAGGAUUUCUAUUUUUGCAAAAGGUCAUUUUGAACUUUUGACUCUGAAACUGGGGGCUUGUUCUUGACCUUGGCAUUUCUGGUCUCUGGACGGAGGGUGAUCAAGAGUAUUGAAAAGAGAGCUAUAGAAGAGUACCCGUUUUCACUUAAUGGAAACUGACACUCUUGCAAGGAUGUGAAAACCUUUUUCUGUCAGCCAACCCUCCUAUUCACAAUGUAAAUGACUGCACUUCUCCCACUGGGCAAAAUGGUGAAUUUGUUCAGGCCCAAAUAUGUCUUUUCAUUAUGCAACUUUACCCCCUUCUAUCAAAAGCAGCUUUUUUUUCACACAGUAACAUGGUUUCCCCACUGUUUUUGUAGUCGUAAGAAUUUGAGUGCAGAAACAGUGGUGUGGUGUUUUGGGAAUUGCAUGCCAGCUAAAGCAAUUCCAGGCAUUGUUCUCCCAGCUGUAUUUCCACCCCUCUGUGGACCCCCCACUUCAGCUUUUCCAGGUUAGUGGGAAGUCAAGAAUUAAUGAAGGUAAAAUUACAUGAAUGCCUAAAAGAUUAAUCUGUGCUGAUUAUUUCCUUCUUUACAGGGAAUCAAAUAUCUCCUAACAUGAACAAAAGUCUCUAACAUGGUGAAAAGUUUGAUGCUGCUUGAGAAUGUCCUUAACCUUCAAAGUGCUAUGUUAAUAUCUUACAGUCAGAAUUAUGUGCAGCACAGUAGGGUCACCGACAGUAAACCAUGAAUGGGUCAUAGCACUUACAGAACAGAAGUACCACAUAAAUUCACAUUCAUAAAUAGCAUCUGGAGUCCCCUAGGACAGGAAAGGAAGUAUACUUGAGCUUUCUCAUACUUUCCCUCAGUAUGUGAAACAUUAAAAGAAUUACUUCUUAUUUAAGGUGACUAAGUGUAAAGGGAUGUACAUAUAAAUUACUGAGAUCAAGCUCUUGGGGCCGGAUUAUAACAUUUUGUUGAGCUUAUUAUGAUUGAGGUUCGUUCUGUAUUUGGAGUUUCUGAUUAUGUCAGCCUGUCAAUCAGAAAAUCUUGACCCACGCUGCUUAAGAUGUAUUUGGCACCUAACAGCAAGUGGUAGGAUUAACAAAUCAAGUGAACUAUCUGCUGUGCUUCCUACAGGGUCCAUUUGCAGAGCUCUGUCUGAAAUGUCACUGCCCUGCAGAGAUGAGGUUGUAGGACACUAGAAAGAGGUGUUGUUUUAUAUGACUAGUCAAUAUAAAAACAUGAUUCAGAGUGGGAAUUCUAACAAACAACAAAGCCGUGACCCAGGUUUUGAAUAGCCUGCAAAAAGCUUGACUAUAUCAGUGUCUAGAGAUGCUAGUGGUUUUCUUCCCAUGACUGAUAAACAUUUGGAAGUGGAUAUGACUUGAAAGAGAGAGUCUUUAGUAGGUCACACUUCUAGUAAAGUUUCAUUGAUCGUAUUUUCUGUACAGGUUGAUGUUAAGGAUAAUUUUUGUGGUUGAUAAACCUGAUCAAUUCUACUAAGUCAGUAAGUUGUUUAUGAUAUGAGGGUAUCUAAUACCUUGUUGGCUGUGGCACUGCUGUUUAGAUAGAUCAUAAUACAUCUCCCAAGGAUUUAUAAAAUUUGCAGAAAUGGGACCUUAAUGUGCAUAUUUAGUAUUACUACUGAGAAACUGUUGAUUUGCAGAUGGUUUAUGGCUUAAAAGUGCUUCAGAGGCCUACACAGUAGGAGCUUAAAGACCAUUGGAAAGAUAAGUCAUUUUUUCCAGUUCAGAACCAUCCUUGCCCAGCUCCCCAGAAGGGCCUUGCCACUCAGCCAGCCUGGUGUAAACCUGUAUUGUUACUGUUCUGUGACUUCUGUGCAAGGCUAGAGUAACCCCCAAAGUACCUACAGGCACAUAAGACAUUAGUCUCCUCUCACUUAGCAAUGCAGGACCAAACAGGGAUUCUUGUGUGGUUAAAUCCAGGUCCUUGUGGGAGCUUGUGGCCUAUACCAUUCAUGACUCUACCAGGCUUCAUCUUUAAACUAAUUAGGUUACUUGUUCCACUGGGAGGUUGCUUCAAAACCUGGCUUUCUUGUGUUGAAACUGCUCUAAUUUACUGUCCUAGCAAGAGUCCAUGGAAAUUGAUAUCACCCGUGACAACAAGUGCCAACAGCCCUCUAAAGAGUCACUCGUCAUAGGUACUUCAUAUUGCAGAGUUUCCUUGAUUUCCCUUUUCCUGCUGGCUUGCUUUUGCUUUUGAGUAGCAUCUUGCAUAUGGAAAAGUGCCCUGGGUUGCCUUGUUCUUGGAUUUACGUAGUAAAAAUGCUGUCUUAUUUUUAUUUUAAAACAGUUCAUCAUAUUUGCACAAACAAGCUGAAUAAUCAGCCAGCUAUUGUGUCUUACAGUUAGCAAACAGCACAGCUGGCCCAGCUUCUGUGCACCCCAGCAAUUAGUUCAGACUGACUCUCUUGGAUUGUUUUUGCUGUAUCUUGGAUCUCAAUUGGUGGUUUGCAGCACUGACUCACACACUCUCUACAAAGUUUUUCUAUGGCUCUACAGACACUAAAUUUCCUUUUGGUUAUACAUGAAAUCAUGACACCAUUGAUAUAUUUUUGCUUGUAAUAUUUUUGCUUGCAUCCCUCUGUGGGCCGGAUUCUGCCCUCCUAGCCUGCCUAAAUAAAUCUUUCUCAUUUGAUGCCAUCAUGCCAGGCUACUACUGCUCUUCCAGCAGCACAGUGUAAGACUAUCCUGAACAAAUAUUCCAGUGGUUUUUAGCUCUCCUUCAUUGCUGCACACCUACAACUGCUCCUGUGAGUUUGGGGAACUGCUGUCCUGAUGUUACUGCUUUGUGUGUGUCUGGCCUUCAAGCCUGCAGAGUCCUUCAGUGGAGGGAUUGUUAAAGUCAUGGGAGAGUCAACACUUUCCAAUCCUGGCUCUGCAGCUGUGCACAGCCACCAGUAAAUCAUGCUCCCCUCUCAGUGGGAAUUAGCCAUGCACUGACAGGCUGUGGAUAUAAAUAACAACGUGUGUGGAACUUGAGGUGCAUUCAAUUGGUCUGUCUGAUAAUAAAAUAAUUCACUGGCA